rnacentral:rRNA from 1 species
CGUUCCCAUACCGAACACGGAAGUUAAGCUCUCUAGCGCCGAUGGUAGUUGGGACCUUGUCCCUGUGAGAGUAGGACAUCGCCAAGC